CCACGCACGUUGAAAAGUGCGGGGAUGAGGUGUGGGUAGCGGAGAAAUUCCAAUCGAACUUGGAGAUAGCUGGUUCUCUCCGAAAUAGCUUUAGGGCUAGCCUCGAGGUAAAGAGUCAUGGAGGUAGAGCACUGUUUGGACUAGGGGCCCUUCUCGGGUUACCGAAUUCAGAUAAACUCCGAAUGCCAUGUACUUAUACUCGGGAGUCAGACUGCGAGUGAUAAGAUCCGUAGUCGAAAGGGAAACAGCCCAGACCACCAGUUAAGGUCCCCAAAUAUAUGUUAAGUGGAAAAGGAUGUGGGGUUGCUUAGACAACCAGGAUGUUGGCUUAGAAGCAGCCACCAUUGAAAGAGUGCGUAAUAGCUCACUGGUCGAGUGACCCCGCGCCGAAAAUGUACCGGGGCUAAACAUAUUACCGAAACUGUGGAUGAACCUCUUUAGAGGUUCGUGGUAGGAGAGCGUUCUAAGGGCGGUGAAGUCAGACCGGAAGGACUGGUGGAGCGCUUAGAAGUGAGAAUGCCGGUAUGAGUAGCGAAAGAAGGGUGAGAAUCCCUUCCACCGAAUAUCUAAGGUUUCCUGAGGAAGGCUCGUCCGCUCAGGGUUAGUCGGGACCUAAGCCGAGGCCGAUAGGCGUAGGCGAUGGACAACAGGUAGAGAUUCCUGUACCAGUGCUAAUUGUUUAACCGAUGGGGUGACACAGAAGGAUAGGGAAUCGCACGAAUGGAAAUGUGCGUCCAAGCAGUGAGUGUGA
rnacentral:rRNA from 1 species